rnacentral:lncRNA from 1 species
GGUAUCUCCAAGAUUUUAGUCUCAACAAAUCUCCAAUAACAUAACUAAAUCCUCACUUUAAAGUCACUCAAAGGAUUUUCCUCACUCAAAAGUAGUGCAAUAGUAUAUUCUAAGCUCCAUAAACUGAAAAUUAGCUACUUGAAAUAUUAGGGAUUGAGCCAUUUAUCUAUUAGGAUCAGGCCUCAUGAAAUUCCAUCAUUGACAUUGGGAAUGUGCCCGUCAGUCGUGAUCAUUGCUUUUUAUCACAAAUGCGACUUUUGUUGUUGUCUAGAUUUUUGCAAUCACGAUGCAUCUUCACGUGAUCUUACAACCUUUGCCUAUUUAGACGAGUCACGAUUGUGAUGUAUCUUUCACGAUAGAAAUAUCUUCACUUAUCUCGAUCAAUUAUAAUCACAACUUGUCAAAUCGCAAUAAAAGAUAUAUGAGGUCCAUUUCUAACACACAUCAUCAGCCUUUGUCCUGCUCAGCUCACUUUUUCUCCUUUCAAAUUUUGACUUUACUUCUCUUUCACCAGAUUUCCCUGAAAACCACAAACACCAAAAAUUAGUGCAUUUCAUUAGAAAAUUAGACUCAUAUAUCAUUAGUUUAUUCACAAUAGUGUGAAAGAAAUGAGUGGAAAAAUUGUCGCUCAUCAAUAUCCCCAACUUAAGGACUUUGCUUGUCCUCAAGAAACAUAACUUCACAACCCAGUAAGACUAUCAAAUUAAAAUCAACACUGAAGCUAACACUUUUUCAACACAUGACCAUAAUGAUUAUGAAUUUUAUUGGUACUAGCAAUUAGUUAACAAGAAUGUGAAGUGCUAGCUAUGCAACUCCCUCGAAUUCAAUCCUAUUUUCAAAAAUGCAAUAAAAUUUCAAGAAUAAUCAGAUAACAACAACCCAUUCUCAAGAGGUGACUCUCAAUAAAUAGUAAUCCAAACAUGAUCCUUUGCCUUGGUAUUAAAAUAUGUCAACUUCAUCAAUCUAUCCUAGUUUACAUGCCUUCUCACUAAAGAAACUCCGUAAUACGUCAUAUUUUCAAGAUGCAACAAGGGACGAAUGUUCAAGCACUCACACUCACAAGGAAUUUCUAAAUGUAAACAAGUAUCAUGCCAUAUGCUUACCCUUAUUUUCAAUCACUACUAACUCUAAAAUACUUGGUUAGAGAUCUCAAACGACUUUUUUCUAGCUUGUAACGUAGGCUCGGGGAAGGGUAGGA